rnacentral:rRNA from 1 species
AUAGGUGGCAAGCGUUGUCCGGGAAUUAUUGGGGCGUAAAGCGCGCGCAGGCGGUCCUUUAAGUCUGAUGUGAAAGCCCACGGGCUCAACCGUGGGAGGGUCAUUGGAAACUGGGGGACUUGAGUGCAGAAGAGGAGAGUGGAAUUCCACGUGUAGCGGUGAAAUGCGUAGAGAUGUGGAGGAACACCAGUGGCGAAGGCGACUCUCUGGUCUGUAACUGACGCUGAGGCGCGAAAGCGUGGGGAGCGAACAGGAUUAGAUACCCUGGUAGUCCACGCCGUAAACGAUGAGUGCUAAGUGUUAGAGGGUUUCCGCCCUUUAGUGCUGCAGCUAACGCAUUAAGCACUCCGCCUGGGGAGUACGGUCGCAAGACUG